UACGAGGGGGGCAAGCGUUGUUCGGAAUUAUUGGGCCUAAAGCAUCCGUAGCCGGUCCUACAAGUCUUCCGUUAAAUCCACCUGCUUAACAGAUGGGCUGCGGAAGAUACUAUAGGGCUAGGAGGCGGGAGAGGCAAGCGGUACUCAGUGGGUAGGGGUAAAAUCCUCUGAUCCAUUGAAGACCACCAGUGGCGAAGGCGGCUUGCCAGAACGCGCUCGACGGUGAGGGAUGAAAGCUGGGGGAGCAAACCGG
rnacentral:rRNA from 1 species